UUUCUGUCUGUUUGUUUUGUCCACCUCAGAGUUCCCUCCCUGUUCUCAUGAAACUUGAUCUCCUGCUCAGGUGAGCUCCUCCCCUCUACAUUUCCAGGCAGUGAGUUUAUCUCUGGGCGUGGAUCAGACUGUGCAGGUACGUGACCAAUGUGGUCAGCAUCAAACAUGAAGAUUAUCCCAAACUAAAGCAGAGGAGAAACAACACAUGCUUCAGUGUGAUCUGAUUCUAAGGGAGGAAGACUUGAAUGAAGAACAUGUUGUAGAAAUCAAUUAGAAACUGGAGACAGAAAAGAGUGAUGCAGAAAUUAAUCUUUGAAAUGAUGAGAAUAAAGUGGAUUCUUUGAGUGUAACAGCAGCGUGUUAGUGUGACUUAGUGAAGACUCAUGGAGUGAUGAUAAUGGAACAAACAGUCAAAGCUUUAAGUUGAGUGAAAGGAACAGGAUCUGUUAGAGGAGCUUCCUCCUGAACAAUAAGACUGACAUUAAAUGUGACAUGGAGACAGGGACGUUUAGCUCCAUGAAAUGACUGAUGAGCUGAUAACACAGACAUGGGUCCCACACUGUGCUCGUAUCUGGAAAACAACUCUGACACAAACGCAGCUGAUGCCACUUUACUACCAACGUGACAUCGACCUGUUGUCAGCUGUGCAGGGAGGCAGCGCUAGGCUGCUCAGCUGGAUGCUAACCAGUCUCUUUGGACUGAGUCUGCUUCUGUUCUGGUUCUGUUCCUGUGCUGCUUUCUCCAUCUGAAUGCUGAAGAAUCCCACUGUGACCUGGGAGUCCACGUGAACAGCUGUUUUACCCAAUUACCCCUGUGUAGAAAUAAAAGUAGCUUCAUCUGUUUGUUCACUUCUACAGAUCUCUUUCCAGAGUUGGUAUCAGCUGCUGUGCUGUCCUUGAUCAUUUAUUAGGUUGGAUCAGACGUUACAGAGAAAAGAGGAACGAUUCAUUCCAGGAACUACAUUUAUGGACAGUUUUAGCUCAAUGCUAAAUGCUAACCCACCAUCCACUCUACUGUCCACUAGUUAAACCUGUGUCAGCAUCUGAAGAGUGCAUUACAGAAGUUCAGCCUGGAGGAGACAAAGAUGUGGAUGAGCUUCUUUGCAUCUGCCGGGUGAAGGUUGGAUGUAGUUUGGCGAUAUUCUUGAUGUGGGGGUAUAUUUUAACACCCAGCUUGUUCAAACUGAACUGACUUUAUUUGUGGAAUAGGACAUAGAGGGAUUCCCAGAAUGGACGAGGAGACAGCGCUGUCUGGUGGUGUGUAGAGGAACUGCAGCUCAUCAAAGUCUAUACGUCCAUUCUGAGAAUCAGUGGGAAACUUCAAGGAAAUAGACGGAUCCACAAAUGAGCUGGUUUUGUGGGUAGUGGGUAGUUCAGGGACCUCUAAACGUUUCUAGGAAAUACACAUCCUUUAUGUGCCGGUGAGUUCACAGAUUGGGAUAAAGGUGGGGUAUACCAGUGUCUGUGGUGAGUGCACAUGCUGAGUUAAAGAUAGUAUGUACCAGUGUCUAUCGUAAGUUCACAGAAUGGGAUAAAAUUAAGAUAUACCAGUGUCUGUGGUGAGUUCACAUAACUGAGAUAAAGGUAGGAUAUACCAGUGUCUAUGGUAAGUUCACUGACUAGCUUGAAGCUGAUGGAACUAUUAACGUUGUCCUCAGUGAGGAGUCAGAAACAUGAAUGAAAUGGUUUGUGAUUCACUGAAGUUUUAACGUGAGCAAAAACAGAAACGGAUGGAAAGAAACAAGAGCACUUACCAAAUAAUAAAAUGUGUUUAGAAGCAUCUUCAAUCUGUUCUGUGUAAGUCACUGCGUUGGUAUUUUUAAAGGGAGGAACUUUUAAAUCUGGCCUUCAACUAAUUUCAUUUACUAUAGAGGUUUAUUAAACUUUGGAUAACAAGAGUGAAAGCUUUCUUAGUUUGCUACAAUCAAUCAACCCUUUAUUUAUUUAUUUAUUUAAAGUCUUUGUGCAUUUUAUCAUUAUUAGACCAGGGUUUCACAUAAUCUCAUAUUAUUUAAUUAUUGUCUCAAGAAAAUUUGAUAACACAAACACACACACACAAAAAAAAACCUUUUUAUUCCACGGAGCACAUGACAAUCCUCCAUCCGUGGAAGUUGAGAAUUAUCAGGUUCUCACAAACUAUUGUUUUUUUCUAAAAUCCGUCCAGAAACAAUGUUCACCGUUACUUUGAUCAGCAACAAACAUGGAGAACUCCAAGCUCUACAACUGAGCCCAGUCACACCAUGCUGCAUCAUGAUCUCCACCUGCUGCUGAAGACAACAACAUUUGUCAGGGGUAACUUGAUGGUGAAGCUGUUUUAAUGAAUGUGAAUCACCCACAUUGAUACCGUGCAUUAACAAAUGAGUGUGGGAUGAAGAAUCAGCAAAAAAGGAUUUACUAGACUCAAUGAAUUCUACCAGAUCAGAAUGCUGCACAUCAGAAAGAUGAUACCAGAACAUUUUUCACGGGGUUAAGGCCACUGACAAAACCACAGUCACUCACUAAGCACCAGGCAGCUCCUGUGAACCCUUUUUACUUCAGCACUGGACAGCUCCUGUGACCUCUCGCUGUUGCCAGACUAACAAAAGAAGAGGUCACUUCAGCACUGGACAGCUCCUGUGAACCCCUUUCUACUGCCUGGCUAACGCAAGGAGAGGUCCCUUCAGCACUGGACAGCUCCACGGGGACACAUCAGAUUCAUCAGUCUCAUUUUGAGGCUUUAAGGAGAUUUUACUGCGUUUGGGUCCUUCAGGAACCUACACACGGACCCUCCACCAGUGUGAGUCAUUUCUACUUGUAUCUUCUCAGUUUGGUUCCCUCUGUAACAACACCACCUGAAUACUAGGUGGCACCAUGUCUUUUUAGCCAGUCAGGUUAAUUUUUUUCUACUUCCUGCUCCAUUUUCAACAAUUUUGCCGAACACAAGCUGUACAGACAUCUGUAUUUGUAAACCUCCUCAGUUUACCUUACCAAUUUUUAAUUGAGCCAAAACAAUCAGUUUGAAAAAGGCCGAGAUGGAGAAAUAGCUGGCAAUACUAAAGCGUAAAAACGGAAACAAUUGCAGAAAUUCGAUAUUCAGCAGUGUUUGCUGAUCAUACACCAGUAAAAAGUUGACAUUAGUAACACUAACACACACAACAGUGGCAGUGACAGACAGCAGGCCACACACACUGGCCCCAUCUUCUUUACAGAAACAAGGACAAAAACUGUAAUAAUAAUAAUUACUAUAUGACUACAGUCUGUUAAUGGUGGACUGGAGGAAUCUCUUAUAGUGUAUUCUUUCCCCAGUGAAUGGUACUUUAAAGGAAAUAAAAAUGUCACGGAUGUUGACUCAGUCCAUAGAGCAGCAGAAACACAUGUAUCUGUUGAGUCAGAUAAACUGAACACUAACUAGGAAAGAAUGUUUGUGACUGAGCUGCUCACUUUUGAUCAACAUCAGCAUUUAUCUGCAGUCAGAGUCUCUGUCCACACAAGCUGCUGCUGCUUCAACCUCUGGAUCAUCAGGACACAGAUCAUCUUCGAACAUCACACAACAUCCUGUUUAAUACCAUGGCUUCCACCUGUAGAGAGAGAAAGAAGAGAGGAGGUGAAGGAGUGUUUCUAGAUACUCAGGGACUUGAGUCCUGUUCAGAGCAGCAGUGGAGCA